UACGUAGGGGGCUAGCGUUGUCCGGAUUUAUUGGGCGUAAAGAGCGUGUAGGCGGCCAGGUAGGUCUGCUGUGAAAACUCGAGGCUCAACCUCGAGACGUCGGCGGAAACCAUCUGGCUAGAGUCCGGAAGAGGAGAGUGGAAUUCCUGGUGUAGCGGUGAAAUGCGUAGAUAUCAGGAGGAACACCUGUGGUGUAGACGGCUUUCUGGACCAUAGCUGACGCUGAGACACGAAAGCGUGGGUAGCAAACAGG
rnacentral:rRNA from 1 species